rnacentral:tRNA from 1 species
GGGCUUAUAGCUCAAUUGGCUAGAGCUUCCGGCUCAUAACCGGAUGGUUCGAGGUUCGAUUCCUCGUAAGCCCACCA